rnacentral:lncRNA from 1 species
UUGCUCUGUGUUAAGCUUUUAUGUUUUGGUCUGUUUUUCUUAAACUAUAAACAAUAGGUCAACUAUAUUUUUUUGUAUGGAUGAAUUGUUAGCUGUACAUGCCUGCCUGGCAUGGUUCAUCUGACCUUGACAUGGUUCAUUGGUCAAUGUUUAGUUUUCUUGGUUAAUGUUUAAGUUUAUGUGACAGCCUUAUAUUUAGGACUAUCAAAAUAAUAUCAAUGAUUAGUAAAGAAGGCAAGACACUUACAGCGUGUGCACUCAAGUGUUAUAUUAUUCCAUAUUUCUUGUUGGUUUUAUUUUAUACCACUAUGCCAAAUAUGGUGUUGUUUAUAAGAUAUUGUUUAAUUUAUGUAAUAAAAUUUAUGAAGCAUG